CAUAUCAAUAAGCGGAGGAAAAGAAACCAACAGGGAUUGCCCUAGUAACGGCGAGUGAAGCGGCAACAGCUCAAAUUUGAAAUCUGGCUCUUUCAGGGUCCGAGUUGUAAUUUGCAGAGGGCGCUUUGGCGUUGGCAGCGGUCCAAGUUCUUUGGAACAGGACGUCACAGAGGGUGAGAAUCCCGUACGUGGUCGCUAGCCUUCGCCGUGUAAAGCCCCUUCGACGAGUCGAGUUGUUUGGGAAUGCAGCUCUAAAUGGGAGGUAAAUUUCUUCUAAAGCUAAAUACUGGCCAGAGACCGAUAGCGCACAAGUAGAGUGAUCGAAAGAUGAAAAGCACUUUGGAAAGAGAGUCAAAUAGCACGUGAAAUUGUUGAAAGGGAAGCGCUUGCAGCCAGACUUGCCUGUAGUUGCUUAUCCGGACUUUUGUCCGGUGCACUCUUCUGCGGGCAGGCCAGCAUCAGUUUAGGCGGUUGGAUAAAGGUCUCUGUCAUGUACCUCUCUUCGGGGAGGCCUUAUAGGGGAGACGACAUGCAACCAGCCUGGACUGAGGUCCGCGCAUCUGCUAGGAUGCUGGCGUAAUGGCUGUAAGCGGCCCGUCUUGAAACACGGACCAAGGAGUCUAACAUCUAUGCGAGUGUUUGGGUGUCAAGCCCAGACGCGUAAUGAAAGUGAACGGAGGUGGGAACCCUUUGGGUGCACCAUCGACCGAUCCUGAUGUCUUCGGAUGGAUUUGAGUAAGAGCAUGGCUGUUGGGACCCGAAAGAUGGUGAACUAUGCUUGAAUAGGGUGAAGCCAGAGGAAACUCUGGUGGAGGCUCGCAGCGGUUCUGACGUGCAAAUCGAUCGUCAAAUUUGGGCAUAGGGGCGAAAGACUAAUCGAAC
rnacentral:rRNA from 1 species